rnacentral:rRNA from 1 species
UACGUAGGGGGCAAGCGUUGUCCGGAAUCAUUGGGCGUAAAGCGCGUGUAGGCGGCCAGGUAAGUCCGUUCUGAAAGCCCGGGGCUCAACCCCGGGAGGCGGAUGGAUACUGCUUGGCUCGAGUCCGGAAGAGGCGAGUGGAAUUCCCGGUGUAGCGGUGAAAUGCGCAGAUAUCGGGAGGAACACCAAUGGCGAAGGCAGCUCGCUGGGACGGUACUGACGCUGAGACGCGAAAGCUAGGGGAGCAAACGGG